CAUUAUAGACAAUAUUGUGUGUAGGGGGGACCUUCUUUCCUCUUUUAGUAUCUAAGGAAACAUUUCUGUUUUCUAAGACAUUAAGUAUUUUUUAUUAGCAGUCUUAAAAAAAGAUUUAUUUAUUUAUUAUGUAAACAGAGUUCUGUCUGCAUGUAUGCCUGCCGGUGAGAAGAGGGCACCAGACCUCAUUACAGAUGGUUGUGAACCACCAUGUGGUUGCUGGGAAAUGAACUCAGAACCUCUGGAAGAGCAGCCAGUGCUCUUAACUGCUGAGCCAUCUCUCCAGCUCCGGCAUUAAGUUUUUGGUACACAGAGGCUACAAAAACAUG
rnacentral:lncRNA from 1 species